rnacentral:rRNA from 1 species
GACGUAGGGCGCGAGCGUUGUCCGGAUUUAUUGGGCGUAAAGAGCUCGUAGGCGGCUUGUCGCGUCGACCGUGAAAACUUGGGGCUCAACCCCAAGCCUGCGGUCGAUACGGGCAGGCUAGAGUUCGGUAGGGGAGACUGGAAUUCCUGGUGUAGCGGUGAAAUGCGCAGAUAUCAGGAGGAACACCGGUGGCGAAGGCGAGUCUCUGGGAUGAUGCUGACGCUGAUGCGCGAAAGCCAGGGGAGCAAACGGG